rnacentral:rRNA from 1 species
AACGCUGGCGGCGCGCUUAACACAUGCAAGUCGAGCGAGAACCAGGACUUCGGUCCUGGGGACAGCGGCGAACGGGUGAGUAACACGUGGGUAAUCUGCCCUCGGUUCCGGAAUAGCCCGGGGAAACCCGGAUUAAUGCCGGAUAGCCUCUCGAGCUCUCGAGCUCGCGAGAAAAGGUAGCUUCGGCCUCCGACCGAGGAUGAGCCCGCGGCGGAUUAGCUUGUUGGUGGGGUAACGGCCUACCAAGGCGACGAUCCGUAGCUGGUCUGAGAGGACGAUCAGCCACACUGGGACUGAGACACGGCCCAGACUCCUACGGGAGGCAGCAGUGGGGAAUCUUGCGCAAUGGGCGAAAGCCUGACGCAGCGAGGCCGCGUGGGGGAAGAAGGCCUUCGGGUUGUAAACCUCUUUCAGGAGGGACGAAGCCACUCGGGUGAAUAGCCCAGAGGGUGACGGUACCUCCAGAAGAAGCCCCGGCUAACUACGUGCCAGCCGCCGCCGUAACAC